rnacentral:snoRNA from 2 species
UCCCUCUCAGGGCCGAACUUGGAGAGUUUCCAGUACUCUACCAGUCUCGUCUAUGGAAGGGAGAGUCAAGCAGAGACCUACGCAUUCCAUUCCUAGCUUGGGCAGUGGCUAGCAAGAGGAAGGCAAUCUGCUACAAGU